rnacentral:rRNA from 1 species
UACGUAGGGUGCGAGCGUUGUCCGGAAUUAUUGGGCGUAAAGAGCUCGUAGGCGGCUUGUCGCGUCGGAUGUGAAAGCCCGGGGCUUAACUCCGGGUCUGCAUUCGAUACGGGCAGGCUAGAGUUCGGUAGGGGAGAUCGGAAUUCCUGGUGUAGCGGUGAAAUGCGCAGACAUCAGGAGGAACACCGGUGGCGAAGGCGGACCUCUGGGCCGAUACUGACGCUGAGGAGCGAAAGCGUGGGGAGCGAACAGG